rnacentral:tRNA from 1 species
AAAGAAAUAUAUAAAAAAGAAGCUUCUAACUUCUUAGAGAGCAAAACUAUGUUCAUAUU